UACUCUUACACCCCGGCAUGGUGUUUCAUUUCCUUCUUGCACAAAAAGCACCUUUUCGCACAAUGCUAACAAACAUUUCGCUUUUCAGCUUUUUUUAAGAGCAAAAUUAUACGGGAAUAAGCUAUCUUUCUUUGAAAUCCAAAGAGCGAGUAAAUUACACGUAGAGGAGCAAUAAAUUUUAUUGAGAACCAGCAGUUUGAGUGGCGCCUCCCACGCGGAGGUCAUAAUUCGGACGGGCACCUAUAAGGCCGGAAGGAAGUCUACUACGAGCGCAAAGCUUUGCGUAAUGCAUGUAUGAAAGUGCGUCGCAAAUGACGUCAAAAUGACUUGACAGCUGUCUUCGAAGUUGAUAUUGAAGGACAGGAACGAGAAUCAAAACCAGUGCAGACUACCCAGACUCCCAAUGAGACGAAGAAAGGGCGCGGCGUCGUUCAAGGUGGUAAAACUGAGUUUGGCACAUUCAUGAAUAGUUUAAGAGGAUUCCUGCACAAGUUUUCCCUUAGCGCUGACAACCACGGUCGAGUUUUUGUUUAUGACUGCUCUUUCAAUAGAAACCACACCACCAAUUUCUUCAAGUUUGUAAACACGCUCCUCCAUGAGCUGCACACACCAUGCUCCAUACAUGGUUUCCCCGGCGCGGGGUAGCAUGCCCGACUGAAAUCUGGACAAACCUCCCUGCCUCUAUAUUCCUUGCUCCUCCUGCUUUUUAUAUAUUAGCUGUUGAGGCACAGGACA